GAUGAAGAACGCAGCGAAAUGCGAUAAGUAGUGUGAAUUGCAGAAUUCAGUGAAUCAUCGAAUCUUUGAACGCACAUUGCGCCCCUCGGUAUUCCGUGGGGCACGCCUGUUCGAGCGUCAUUUACACCCUCAAGCGCAGCUUGGUGUUGGGCGUCUGUCCCGCUCUCCGUAGCGCGGACUCGCCUCAAAGUCAUUGGCGGCGGUCGUGCCGGCUCCUCGCGCAGCACAUUUGCGCUUCUCGGAGGCCCGGCGGAUCGGCAUCCAGCAAGCUACUUUUUAUGACUUGACCUCGGAUCAGGUGAGGAUACCCGCUGAACUUAAGCAUAUAAUAAGCGGAGGA
rnacentral:misc_RNA from 1 species